AGAGAGAAAGAGCAGUAGAUAAAGAAUAGGGACAUGAAAUCACUGCUUUUAUAAUCAAAAUAAGGCUCAGCUCCUCGAGGCUGACAGUGAAAAAGAUUCCCCACGUGACUGCGGGGGCCAGAAGCAGAGAGACCACAAAAUCCUGGCCCCUGGCCCAGGGAGUCAUCUUUCUCUUGAGAAUCACUCACUGAUGAUUUUGGCUCCAUCAGAGCCUCCUUGGGUCAUUUCUGCCUUUCAUCUCCAAGGCACAACCAUGAGAUGACAAGGGGCAUUUCUCAACAUCCAUGGCACAACCAAGCCAAAGCUGGAAAGUUAACAACUUUUCUAAAGGCAAGGAUGAUGUUUCCCAACCUUCUGAGGUCAUAGAAACUGCCCUGGACACCAGUUUAAAUAUACAGAAUCUCAAGGAACUUGGAUUCAGGAGAUGUGCAGGAGGCCUGGAAAUAGGUAUUUUAAACUAAUGCCAGUUAUCCUCAAAUUCCUGCAAGUUCUAGUAUCACUGUGUUGGCAAGUAACAAAGAGAAAUAAACAUAGUAGCAUAAAUCCAUGUAGUCAGGCUCACAAGAAAAGGCCACUUUUAACCCUAUGCUGCAGUCCUCACCCUACCUCUGUGUGUUUGAUGCUAUGGUGGCACAUGUUUGCUAUUUUUAUCUCCUAGAAAAUGUCUGGGCCCAAGAAAAAGAGGCCCUUUGCCAAAUUAUAAGAUAGUAAAGGAGGAAGGGAAGGUGGCUAGAAGGCUUCUUCCAUUCUUAACAUUUUUCAAAGACUAGGGUUUUGUUGUUGUUGUUGUUUGAGACGGUGUCUCGCUCUGUUGCCCAGGGUAGAGUGGAGUGACAUCAUCAAAGGUCCUUGCAACCUAGAAUUUCUGGGCUCAAGUGAUCCUCCUUUCUCAGCCUCUGAGUAGCUGUGACUACAGUUUGAAAGAAGAAACACUUCCAAAAGAAGCAACCAAGUCUACAAAGGCACAGUUUGACUCAAAUGGAUCCAACCGAUUAGCAAAUGGAAAAUAACACUGAGGAACAAGUUUUGCAUCACAAGCAUAGCAGCUCCAAGUCACCCCUAUGGAAGCUAAAGCUUUAAGUGCAACCCAGAGAAGGGAUGGUCCAGAAUCUCUGCUUUAUAUUUGCAUAGCUUCACCGUCCAAGCCAGUUGCUCUCCACAAAAGGUGAGGGGAGAAAAUAAAGCAGGUGGAGAAAUACACUACUUAAUGCAGUUCAGUAACUGGGAACCAAUUUCUUGGAAACAUGGCCUACAGGAAUACCCAUCUUAACAUCAGAAGGUGGAUAUAAUUACCACUGAAGGCGUUUAACAAACCUCUAAAACAGUUCCUAUGAAGAGUACACUUCAGAAAAAUCUAUGCAAAGAAGUAAAAAACGAAAGAAAGACAAAACUUGAACCUCAUGAGAGUGGAGAGAAUGCAAAAGGUAAGAAGGGGGAAAGGAGGUCAGGGAAGCAGAAAGGAACAGGAAAAGAAUAUGGAUGGUCACGGGGCAGGAAUUUGCAACAUUGUGAACAUCUUAAAUUUACCAUUAAAAUUUAAGAAAUAUAUGUCUUUGAAAAAUGCAGGCAAUUCAGAAGUACACCAGGUAAAAUGUGGAAACACUUUUUUCACAACCUACACACAACAUCCCCACUACAGAGGUGGGAGAGGUUAGGGUGAAGCUGGAGGCAGUAUUCUGAUAGGCUUCAUAUAUCUGUACCAGUGAGAGUAGUCAUAAUGUUAGAUGAAUAUAUUUGAAUGGUACUAAGUACACAAAACUCAUGGUAACUAAUAUAGUUUUCCCACAAUUUUGGUCUUACCAACUUGCAGUUGAAACAUUUUUAUAUUCCUUUUGUAAUCAUCUGAAGAUAAUGAACUAAAUGCUAGCCAUUGUUUUCCAGAGUAGAAUUUUUGGAGUUACUGGUAGUUUGGAGAAUUUCCAUCUUAUGAUGUAUCUUUUUAUAUAGCUUUGUGUGUGU